CCUACGGGAGGCAGCAGUGGGGAAUAUUGGGCAAUGGGCGCAAGCCUGACCCAGCAACGCCGCGUGAAGGAAGAAGGCUUUCGGGUUGUAAACUUCUUUUGUCAGGGACGCAGCAACUGACGGUACCUGACGAAUAAGCCACGGCUAACUACGUGCCAGCACCCGCGGUAAGACGUAGGUGGCAAGCGUUAUCCGGAUUUACUGGGUGUAAAGGGCUUGUAGGCGGGACUGCAAGGCAGAUGGGAAAACCACGGGCUCAACCUGUGGCCUGCAUUUGAAACUGUAGUUCUUGAGUACUGGAGAGGCAGACGGAAUGCGUAGUGUAGCGGUGAAAUGCGUAGAUAUUAGGAGGAACACCAGUGGCGAAGGCGGUCUGCUGGACAGAAACUGACGCUGAGGCGCGAAAGCGUGGGGAGCAAACAGGAUUAGAUACCCCAGUAGUC
rnacentral:rRNA from 1 species